rnacentral:rRNA from 1 species
CCUACGGGGGCUGCAGUGGGGAAUAUUGGACAAUGGGCGAAAGCCUGAUCCAGCCAUGCCGCGUGUGUGAAGAAGGCCUUCGGGUUGUAAAGCACUUUCAGUGGGGAAGAAAGCCUUGGGGCUAAUACCCUCGAGGAAGGACAUCACCCACAGAAGAAGCACCGGCUAACUCCGUGCCAGCAGCCGCGGUAAUACGGAGGGUGCGAGCGUUAAUCGGAAUUACUGGGCGUAAAGCGCGCGUAGGCGGUCUGAUAAGCCGGUUGUGAAAGCCCCGGGCUCAACCUGGGAACGGCAUCCGGAACUGUCAGGCUAGAGUGCAGGAGAGGAAGGUAGAAUUCCCGGUGUAGCGGUGAAAUGCGUAGAGAUCGGGAGGAAUACCAGUGGCGAAGGUGGCCUUCUGGACUGACACUGACGCUGAGGUGCGAAAGCGUGGGUAGCAAACAGGAUUAGAUACCCUAGUAGUC